rnacentral:rRNA from 1 species
CCUCUGGUGCACCGGUUGUUAACCAAUAGCAUAGCCGGGUAGCCAAGUUUGGAAGGGAUAAACGCUGAAGGCAUCUAAGCGUGAAGCCCCCCUCAAGAUGAGAUAUCCCAUGCGAAAGCAGUAAGACCCCUUGAAGAACACGAGGUUGAUAGGGCAGAGGUGGAAGUGCAGUAAUGCAUGCAGCUGACUGUUACUAAUAGGUCGAGGGCUUGAUCAA